AUACUUACCUGGCAAGGGAGACACCGUGAUCAAGAAGGCGGUUCACCCAGGGCGAGGCUCAGCCAUUGCACUCCGGCUGUGCUGACCCCUGCGAAUUUCUCAAAUGUGGAAAUCGAUUGCAUAAUUGCAUAAUUUAUGGUAGUGGGGGACUGCGUUCGCGCUCUCCCCUG